GACGAACGCUGGCGGCGUGCCUAACUCAUGCAAGUCGAGGGGCAGCAUGAUUGUAGCAAUACAAUUGAUGGCGACCGGCAAACGGGUGCGGAACACGUACACAACCUCCCAACAAGUGGGGAAUAGCCCAGAGAAAUUUGGAUUAAUACCCCGUAACAUAACGAUGUGGCAUCACAUUGUUAUUAUAGAUUUUUCGCUUAUUGAUGGGUGUGCGGCUGAUUAGAUAGUUGGCGGGGUAACGGCCCACCAAGUCUACGAUCAGUAGCGGAUGCGAGGGCAUGAUCAGCCACACUGGAACUGAGACACGGUCCAGACUCCUACGGGAGGCAGCAGUGGGGAAUAUUGGACAAUGGGCGAAAGCCUGAUCCAGCCAUGCCGCGUGUGUGAAGAAGGUCUUCGGAUUGUAAAGCACUUUAAGUUGGGAGGAAGGGUUGUAAGCUAAUAUCUUGCAGCUUUGACGUUACCAACAGAAUAAGCACCGGCUAACUCUGUGCCAGCCGCCGCCGUAAUAC
rnacentral:rRNA from 1 species